CCUGAUAGCUCAGCUGAUAAAGAAUCCGCCUGCAAUGCGGAAGACCUAGGUUCAAUCCCUGGGUCAGGA
rnacentral:tRNA from 1 species